GUCCGUCUCUUGUGUCAUUAACCAGAUUAUGUUCAGCUGUGUACUCACCGGUCUCUCAUUACCAUCCUCAUCUGUCAGCAUAUUUAAGUCCUCUGUUUCCUUCUGUUCACUGUCGCGUCAUUGAUGUUGUUACUGCUGGUCCCGUGUGUUCAGUUCUGUUCAGUCACUUCGGUUCAGCCAGCCAUUUCAUUAAAUACCAUUAUCCUGCACCGUGAGUCCAGCGUUUGGGUCCUCUUCUCAUUCACACGCGAAACCCUGACAACAAGUCCAAGGACAUGGGAUCAUCCAACUCUGAGCACGAAAACUUACUGGAGGAAUUUUAAGCCCGACAAGAUAAAUUCACAAACAAGUUUGCUCACUUUCAGUGAGAUAUCCAAGAGAAAAAGAACAAUUGACCCAUCGAGUGAAAUAAGAAUUUCUUCUCCAAGCAGAACAUGGUGUAGAGAAACCCGUGUUGGCUAUCACAGUGGUGAGGCAUUUCUUGUAGUUGGUUUCUUGGCUGCUGUUUGGCAUCUCAAUGGUUCAGCUCCCUCCACAGAUUUUCUACAGCACUGAGGUCGGGAGACUGGCUACUUCAUGACCUAAAAGUGUUUCUCCUUAACCAAGCCUUUAUUGUCAUUAUAUCUUGCAUCGAACUCCUGACUGAGGGUGACUGAUGUCUGUUACCACCACGUC
ensembl:lncRNA